ensembl:lncRNA
CUCGGUUAGCAGGAUGCUAGCAUGUAGCGCUUAGUGAGACACGCCUCAGACGAGUUGAGCAAAGACCCCGUCUGUGUACUUUAUACGUGAGCAACAGAUUUAAAUAAAAUUAACGUUUCAAAAGACAAACUUGAAGAUAAAAAACAAUAUACUUACCGGAGAAUCGCCAGGGUUUGCCGCUUCCAUCUUGCUGCUCCUAAAUUCAAAACUGCCUCUGCAGUCAGGCAGGGGAGUCGUGGAAAUUGUCUUUGAGUUAGUCAAACGUUUUCCUUAGUUCGAGUAGAUGAUAAAAUAAAAAUAAAUGGGAUUUUAAGUAGGACUAGGCGUUCUGUAAUGAUCUCUAUUUAGGAGAAAAACUUAAUCACUCACCUCUAAACAGCUCUCUUUUAGGAGACAAACUGCUGGCUAACGGUGUCAUGUGAUCAAACAGCGUAAUUUAAUUGGCCGAGAGCCACUCGACUCGAUCUGGUGCUGAUUGCUCUGGCUUGGGUCAUUAAAGUUCAUCACUUUUGCAGUUGAAUUUUUGCAGGUGAAUUUUUUGCAGGUGAAUUUUUUUCAGGUGAAUUUUUUGCAGGUGAAUUUUUUGCAGGUGAAUUUUUUUCAGGUGAAUUUUUUUCAGGUGAAUUUUUGCAGGUGAAUUUUUUGCAGGUGAAUUUUUGCAGGUGAAUAUUUUUGCAGGGAAAUUUGGAGGAUAAAAAUUCAGUGUCAUAAAUUCAAUGUCUAAAAAUACUUGAAUUCUGAUGAUACUAUAUUUCUUCCAUAUAAAAGCGCUUUACAAAUACAGGCCAUUUACCAUUUUGGUAUAAAGGAACCAAUCUAUAAAAUGAAAAUAACAUUUUAGAACUGAGUAGCCACUAUUAUUUUCAACAUAAAUGUAGACAACACUAAGACUGUGAUGACACUUUGAUCACAGGGGAACUUUAUCAUCAAAGUCUGGGCUCUUCUCUUUGACUCAAACACACCCACAAACAUACAGCAGCCAAUAAAGAAGCAGAGAUAUAACCAGGACAGUGAACUGAGCUGAAAGCAGCACAGCUCAUGAAGUUCACAGGAAAUAGCCAAUAAGAGUCUGUU